CAGCAGCCGCGGGAAUACAGAGGGUGCGAGCGUUAAUCGGAUUCACUGGGCGUAAAGCGUGCGUAGGCGGCUUCUUAAGUCGGAUGUGAAAUCCCUGAGCUUAACUUAGGAAUUGCAUUCGAUACUGGGAAGCUAGAGUAUGGGAGAGGAUGGUAGAAUUCCAGGUGUAGCGGUGAAAUGCGUAGAGAUCUGGAGGAAUACCGAUGGCGAAGGCAGCCAUCUGGCCUAAUACUGACGCUGAGGUACGAAAGCAUGGGGAGCAAACAGGAUUAGAUACCCGGGUAGUCCCUGUCUCUUAUAU
rnacentral:rRNA from 1 species